rnacentral:sRNA from 1 species
AUUCAUAUACCUGUUGAGGACAGAUCAAGUGAAUAUGGGAGUCGAUACCUCCUGCAGUGAGGAUGCUGUGUUCGCCCGCAAUGGUAUCAGUGCCAUUGCCCACAACCAUGUUGGGAUGGACACCGUUCAUGACGUCCGGGUUGCCAGCCUUGCCGAUGCCCACAAUGAUGCCGUCCUUGAUUCCAACAUCGGCCUUGUAUAUGCCAGACCAGUCGACGAUGAGGGCGUUAGUGAUGACCGUGUCGAGCACAUCGGCAUCUUUCCGAUCGGAUGCUUGCCCCAUCCCCUCUCGAAG